GGGAGAGGCAGGAUCAUCAGGCUGGAAGCUGAGCACGCCCUGCAGAGUCCGGUGUUUGGCCUGUGUGCAGUGGGAAGAAUUCCCAUCGGACUGGCAUUUGACAAAGUGGCCAGCAUUCCUCCACAAGAGACCGGGAACCUGGCAUGUCUGUGUAAGGAGACCCUCCGCGCAGGGCUGGUGGGGCCACGUGGCCACUGAACAACGAAACAGAAGAAGCUGGCCAGGGGAACUGGGCAGAGGCAUGUCCGGGGACCAGGGAGCAUGAGCACCGGUGGGCAGCUCCACCAAGCCUGGCUGCUGACCACAGAGAGCGGACUGGGGGAGUCCAGGCAUAAAGGCCAAGGUGUGAACUUGAACCCCAAAGGAGCGGAGGAGACUGAAGCAGCAGAACUCUGGUUGGGGCGGACAGCCCAAAGGCCGUCCUGCAGAGCAGUGGUCAACACCAGAGGAGCAUUUGAAUGGCACUCCUUCAGGUGGAGCUGACUUUGGAAACAGGCCUGCUCUGGGACUCAAAGCUGAGUCUCCCACACAGACACAAGGGUUGGGCCUGCCUGACCCCAGAUGUCCAGCCUUCCCUCACCUGCUACCUCGGCCAUUACCCAGAGGCCUGGGUUACAGUGUGCCCACCCCUGUCCUUGAUACAGCAAGGACUGAUCAUCCCUGGCUCAGCCUGGAGCUGGUGCCAAGAGCAGCCCGCCAGGCAGAGAGAGAACUCAGUCCACCCCUACCCGGAAGGCAAAUGAUACAAAUCAGAGGUGCAUCAGACCCUCCCCAGCCCCAGCAUCACUGCAGGUGGAGACAGACACAACAGGUGCCUGGGCUUCCACUACAAAUCACCCUAUUGGAAAAAAAAAAAAAAGAGGAAAGAUGUCCAUAAUGGAAAACCAUGACUCCAUUUUGUUUGUUUGUUAAGGCAAAGCUCUCAGCUCUGCGGAACAAUCCCAGCUUCCUUGUGAUUUAAUAAAAAGGUGGGGCAUUUGGUCCACCUUAAAGGGCCAGGCAUCAUUUUCCGGAUGUCUGUUUCAUUGGAAGGAGACUGAAUCUCUUCCUUUCUAAAACAAUAAAAAGGUGGAUAAUUAGCAUGUAACGG